UACGGAGGAUGCGAGCGUUAUCCGGAUUUAUUGGGUUUAAAGGGUGCGUAGGCGGGCAUUUAAGCCGGCGGUCAAAUGUCGGGGCUCAACCCCGGCCUGCCAUCGGAACUGGGUGCCUUGAGUGGGCGAGAAGUAUGCGGAAUGCGCGGUGUAGCGGUGAAAUGCAUAGAUAUCACGCAGAACCCCGAUUGCGAAGGCAGCAUGCCGGCUUCCUACUGACGCUGAAGCACGAAAGCGUGGGGAUCGAACAGG
rnacentral:rRNA from 1 species